ncrna:unclassified sequences DTF3800-X RNA
AGGUGACUAAUGCCCAUCAAGGGGUCUUUCCCGAAAGAAUGAUGCCCGUGGAUGCGGGAUGGGACAAGUAGGGGGAGAUUCACCA